rnacentral:rRNA from 1 species
UGCCAGCAGCCGCGGUAAUACAGAGAGUGCAAGCGUUAAUCGGAAUUACUGGGCGUAAAGCGCACGUAGGUGGAUGCUUUAGUCGGAUGUGAAAGCCCCGGGCUUAACCCGGGAAUUGCAUUCAAUACUGGGCAUCUAGAGUAUAGUAGAGGGAAGUGGAAUUUCCGGUGUAGCGGUGAAAUGCGUAGAUAUCGGAAAGAACACCAGUGGCGAAGGCGGCUUCCUGGGCCAAUACUGACGCUGAGGUGCGAAAGCGUGGGGAGCAAACAGGAUUAGAUA